rnacentral:rRNA from 1 species
CCUACGGGAGGCAGCAGUGGGGAAUAUUGGACAAUGGGCGCAAGCCUGAUCCAGCAAUGCCGCGUGUGUGAAGAAGGCCUGCGGGUUGUAAAGCACUUUUAUCGGGAAAGAAAUCCUUAAGGCUAAUAACCUUGAGGCUUGACGGUACCCGAGGAAUAAGCACCGGCUAACUCAGUGCCAGCAGCCGCGGUAAUACUGAGGGUGCAAGCGUUAAUCGGAAUUACUGGGCGUAAAGCGAGUGUAGGCGGCCUCGUAAGUCGGAUGUGAAAGCCCUGGGCUUAACCUGGGAAUGCCAUUCGAUACUGCGCGGCUAGAGUUUGAUAGAGGAAAGUGGAAUUCCAGGUGUAGCGGUGAAAUGCGUAGAUAUCUGGAGGAACAUCAGUGGCGAAGGCGGCUUUCUGGAUCNAAACUGACGCUGAGGCUCGAAAGCGUGGGGAGCAAACAGGAUUAGAUACCCUGGUAGUCCACGCCCUAAACGAUGUCAACUAGACGUUGGCCCCAUUUAAGGGGUUAGUGUCGAAGUUAACGCGUUAAGUUGACCGCCUGGGGAGUACGG